rnacentral:rRNA from 1 species
AUUGAACGCUGGCGGCAUGCUUUACACAUGCAAGUCGAACGGUAACAGGUUAAGCUGACGGGUGGCGAACGGGUGAGUAAUGCAACGGAACGUACCCGAUCGUGGGGGAUAACGCAGCGAAAGCUGCGCUAAUACCGCAUACGAUCUGAGGAUGAACGCGGGGGACCCUAAGGCCUCGCGUGAUCGGAGCAGCCGAUGUCAGAUUAGGUAGUUGGUGGGGUAAAGGCUCACCAAGCCACAGUUCUGUAGCUGGUUUGAGAGGACGACCAGCCACACUGGGACUGGGACACUGCCCAGACUCCUACGGGAGGCAGCAGUGGGGAAUUUUGGACAAUGGGCGAAAGCCUGAUGCAGCAAUGCCGCGUGCAGGAAGAAGGCCUUCGGGUUGUAAACUGCUUUUGUACGGAGCGAAAAGGUCCCCUCUAAUACAGGGGGCUCAUGACGGUACCGUAAGAAUAAGCACCGGCUAACUACGUGCCAGCAGCCGCGGUAA